rnacentral:rRNA from 1 species
GCCAGACUCCUACGGGAGGCAGCAGUGGGGAAUAUUGCGCAAUGGGGGAAACCCUGAUGCAGCGACGCCGCGUGAGUGAAGAAGUAUUUCGGUAUGUAAAGCUCUAUCAGCAGGGAAGAAAUAGCGACCUUUGGGUCGCCAGACGGUACCUGACUAAGAAGCCCCGGCUAAAUACGUGCCAGCAGCCGCGGUAAUACGUAUGGGGCAAGCGUUAUCCGGAUUUACUGGGUGUAAAGGGAGCGCAGGCGGCUUGGCAAGUCUGAUGUGAAAGGCUGGGGCUCAACCCCAGGACUGCAUUGGAAACUGUUAGGCUGGAGUGUCGGAGAGGUAAGCGGAAUUCCUAGUGUAGCGGUGAAAUGCGUAGAUAUUAGGAGGAACACCAGUGGCGAAGGCGGCUUACUGGACUGUAACUGACGUUGAGGCUCGAAAGCGUGGGGAGCAAACAGGAUUAGAUACCCCUGUAAC